CCCUUAGACGUUCUGGGCCGCACGCGCGCUACACUGACGAAGGCAACGAGCUUUCCUUUACCGAAAGGUACGGGUAAUCUUUUGAAACUUCGUCGUGCUGGGGAUAGAUCCUUGCAAUUUUUGAUCUUAAACGAGGAAUGCCUAGUAAGCGCAAGUCAUCAACUUGCGUUGAUUACGUCCCUGCCCUUUGUACACACCGCCCGUCACUACUACCGAUUGAAUGGUUUAGUGAGGCCUUCGGAUCCGCGACUCGUUUGUGGAGAAGUUGGACAAACUCAGUCAUUUAGAGGAAGUAAAAGUCGUAACA
rnacentral:rRNA from 1 species